UACGAGAGGCCCAAACGUUAUUCGGAAUUACUGGGCUUAAAGAGUUCGUAGGCGGCGCAGAAAGUAGGGUGUGAAAGCCCUCGGCUUAACCGAGGAAUUGCGCUCUAAACUACUGUGCUUGAGGAACCUAGAGGUGAGCAGAACAGAUGGUGGAGCGGUGAAAUGCGUUGAUAUCAUCUGGAACACCGGUGGCGAAGGCGGCGUUCUGGACUGCUACUGACACUGAGGAACGAAAGCCAGGGGAGCAAACGGG
rnacentral:rRNA from 1 species